rnacentral:rRNA from 1 species
UACGUAGGGUGCGAGCGUUAAUCGGAAUUACUGGGCGUAAAGCGUGCGCAGGCGGUGAUGUAAGACAGUUGUGAAAUCCCCGGGCUCAACCUGGGAAUGGCAUUUGGGACUGCAAGGCUGGAGUACGGCAGAGGAGACUGGAAUUCCUGGUGUAGCAGUGAAAUGCGUAGAUAUCAGGAGGAAUACCGAUGGCGAAGGCAGGUCUCUGGGCUGAUACUGACGCUCAUGCACGAAAGCGUGGGGAGCAAACAGG